rnacentral:rRNA from 1 species
GACGAACGCUGGCGGCGUGCUUAACACAUGCAAGUCACGGGGGCCCAGCAAUGGGUAACCGGCGAACGGGUGCGUAACACGUGAGCGACCUGCCUUUCCGCGGGGGAUAGCCGGCCCAACGGCCGGGUAAUACCGCAUACGCUUGUCCUGGGGCAUCCCGGGACAAGGAAACCUCCGGGGCGGAGAGAGGGGCUCGCGACCUAUCAGCUAGUUGGCGAGGUAACGGCUCACCAAGGCGGCGACGGGUAGCUGGUCGAGAGGAUGGCCAGCCACAUUGGGACUGAGAUACGGCCCAGACUCCUACGGGAGGCAGCAGUGGGGAAUAUUGCGCAAUGGCCUAACGGCUGACGCAGCGACGCCGCGUGUGGGAGGACG